UGCGUAGGCGGUUAGUUAAGUCUGUUGUGAAAUCCCCGGGCUCAACCUGGGAAUGGCAAUGGAAACUGGCUAGCUAGAGUGUGUCAGAGGAUGGUGGAAUUUCCGGUGUAGCGGUGAAAUGCGUAGAGAUCGGAAGGAACAUCAGUGGCGAAGGCGGCCAUCUGGGACAACACUGACGCUGAAGCACGAAAGACGUGGGGAGGCAAACA
rnacentral:rRNA from 1 species